AAUUAUUUUUACCGAACAAAAUGGAAAGCGACGAAUUGCCGAAAUCGUUUUGCACCGAGGAGUUUCGUUCACUGUUGCUAGUGAACGCCACAGUGCUAUUUUCAGUGUCGGAAAAUCGCGCGCACCAACAGAGUCGUGUGCGCGAUACAGUGAUACGGGGAUAGUAGCACGCGUCGGCAAGCGAAGUAGCUAACGAAAUAUCGUCGCACGACAAACGCGACAGUGACCGACUCGUGAACGCGACGAUGCCGUUGGCCGCCGUGCUAGAGCAGAAUCCUAUAAAUGGGAAACGGGAGA